AAGCAUGUGAUGAGUUACUCGGAUUCCCCUUCAGAACAUUUUGAAUGAUGCAGGUUCGAGUUUUCUGAUGCU